CUUGAGCAUAGUCAGACAUAAAAAAACCCCUGCCAAUAAUAGAACAAAACCUGCCAAAGCCGUCAUUCCCCCUAAUGUUUAAACGCAACGGUCGAUCGUUAUCAAAUUCAAUAAUGAUCAACCAGGCUUUACCACCUUUCGAAUGCAACUUGUUGCGAGAAAAUCGAUUCAGGCGGAGGUCGUCGGUACCGAACAUUAUUGAUGACGGAUAGUUUUGGGCGCAGUUGUUAGCGCCACGAUAUGUCCUGACGUCGAUAAUGUCGGAGAAGUGCCAUCCAUCAAUCAGAACGUGGUUGAUUUGUGAUUCUGUCUGCAGUGAUCAUUUCCAGGUGUACCGAUACGGAAGGCUGUUUUGGAAGUAGUUGCUGCGAAUGGCCAUAUUCUUGGAGGCGACGAAAUUAAUUAGUCGUAGGCUGUUUUCGUUCCAGCCGGUGAGAGCUGAACUUCCCAAUAGUCGGUCUAAACUCUUCCUCUUGGCCAACCUGAGCAUUCAAAUCUUCUAUGAUGAUUUUGACGACGUGGCUUGGGCAACUAUCGUACUCACGUUCCAGCUGCGCGUAGAAUGCGUCCUAACCAUCAUCAGUGCUUCCGGAGUGUGGGCUAUGGACGUUCAUUAUGCUGAAGUUGAAGAACCGGCCUUUGAUUCUCAACCUGCACAUUCUCUCAUUGAUCGGCUACCACCCGAUCACGCGCCAUAUCUCCCAUCACUAUGAAAGCUGUGUGCUCGUGUGUAUUGCCGCAGCUCUGGCAGAUGGUAUGAUUACCUCUAUAAACGUUCGCACCAUUGAUCCAUCCCAACAAACCUCCUGCAGCGCUACGAUCCCGAAUCCACGGUCUUUGAGUACACCGGCGAGUAUGCGUGUGCUCCCGAUUAAGUUGAGAUCGUAAUAUCUAUUGAUGUUAUAAUUAUAUUUUAUGAUGUUUUUUGGAUGCCUUGCUACAAUGGGAAAAUCGAAGCAAAAAUGGAUUUAUUUUAUUAGUGAGUUUGAGCAGCUGACUACAAAGUUUAUCAUAAACAGGCAACAUCGUGGAAACAUAAAAAAUGAAAAACAAAAACCAAACUAUUGAAUUCGUUUGUAAAAUCAGAUAAUCUCUGUAUUUAAACCAUUUCAUCAGCGCAUCACUGGUUUUACCCUGUCCUUGAUUGAAGGUAAAUCGAAAACUUUUUUCUAUACUAGCGAUCUGAUAACCCCUGUUUGCGUUCGGGUUAAUGAAAAUUAUUUAAUUCCUGAGAUUAGAACAUAUCAGAUAUUGAACGGGGAGCUAUAUAUUGAACAGGCACACUUCGGAACGAACCAGAAAGGGUUGGUACUCUAACGUGUCAAUUAAAUUCAACGAAAAAAAUACAUUCCAAGGAAAAUGAACUUCCGAGGAUCAGGUCGUGGGAUGCGAGGCAUUGCUGGUGAAUCCCGUGGUAGACGUGGCUGCGUAAACCGUGGUAGAGGCUGUACAGGCCGUGGUGGCUACGGAAGCCGAAACAGCGAACGGAAGGAUUACCCUGAUCAGGGAGCAUUAUUCGACUUUCCAGUCAACAUGGAGGGAGCGGUAGACGAAAUUUUGCGGAUGAAGCCGGAUAGGUUGCAAGCAAAACAGAUAAAUCGAGGCGCUUGUGUCGGUAAACAUGUUAGAGGUCGUGGAGGUAAUUGAGAUGGCGUUGCUUUCCGGGGUUUUAGAGUUGGUUGUAGUUCAUCAAUUGAAUUCGGCAUUUAAGGAUAAAUCAAUAAGCAUCUAAAUUUGUGAAUAAUGCUCAAUGCGUGUUGUAAAUUGAUAUAUUUUUCAGUGGGAAUAAAAUAGUCUGCUAUUUGAUAUAAA